rnacentral:tRNA from 1 species
GUGGCUCAGUGGUUAGAGCGCCCGCCUCAUGAACGGGAGGUCGUGGGUUCGAACCCUGGCC